rnacentral:tRNA from 1 species
GCCGGGUUAGCUCAGUGGUAGAGCAGCGGUUUUGUAAACCGUUGGUCGGGAGUUCAAAUCUCUCACCCGGCACCA